rnacentral:lncRNA from 1 species
UUUCACCCUCAAAAUACAUCAACUUCAAUAGUAUUCGUUUAUUUUUUUGAGAAUCAAAUAUCAAUGGAGAAAUCAACAAAGAACACCGAAAUUGAAAAUCCAACCAAUGACCCGAAGCACUAUUAUGUGGCCUUGGGGAUAUUGAUCGGACUGAUUUUAGCAUUGGGUGUUAUCCUAGCUUCUUCGAUGAUUAGGACUACUACAAAAUUUCAAAAUCCUAAGUUUCGUCUUAUAUCGUCAACCUCACAUACUCCUAGUGUUAUUAUAACAAGAAAUUUUAUGAACGGUAUGAUGUUGCACAAUCCCGACAGUUGGAACCUCACUUUCAUGAUCAAGAACCCUAAUAAUAAUUAUAUUCUCUACUACGAUAAUCUUGAUGUGAAGAUUACAUACAAUGACAACGUUUAUUGGCAAGCCAAUGUUUCUCCUAACUUCCAUCAAGUGGAAAACACUCAAACCCUAAUUGAUGCAGUGUUUGGUGCUUUGAAUGAUACUAGUAUUGAUUAUAUUGUUGACUACGUUGUUCAUGAUGUUCAUGUUGGUUGUCCCAUUAGAUUUUCAGUGAGUUUAAAUGGGAAAGUUCAGAUGACUCAUCGCGAAGCACAUAAUCGCUUAGACUUUGGAAAACUACAGGUUUCUUGUGAAGGUUUGGAAGUUGAGUUCUUACCGAAUGGACAUAUUGGAACGUUAAAGGUUACCUCAAAUAUCUGCGAUGUACUUCUGCGACCAUCAGUUUGUUGAUUGUCAUAUGGCAGAUCUAAAGGGAGUGUUGGGAGCUACAAUAGAGUGAUAAAGCUAGGGAUCACAUAGAAUUUUUAUAUAUAGAGAUCGAGAGGAUAGAUUUUUCUAUUUUUGUAUCGAAAUUUAUGAAAAUUAUAUACAUAAAUUUUCUUUUGCAAUACUUGUCUUCUUCUUUUCGAUUACAUUACAAUGAAUAUUGAUUACAUAUGUUUUCCUUUUGUGCUAUAUACUGCUAAGUCCAAUCUUGAUCUGGAGUCAAGAAGUACAAACUUUGUUACAUAUAGGUCAAUUUAAUAAAGAAAUUGAGCGAAUUAAACCAUCAAAGGAUGUAGAUGUUGAAGAAAUUACAUGAGAAGAUGGAUUCAAGAUUUGAACAUCAUGAAUUAAGGAUUAGGAUGUUUUUAUCUUUUAAUUUGUUAUCCAUAUAAAAGUUACGAAUUCAUAGUCAAAAGACUACAUUCAUUAUCUUCGUUUUAAUUAAGCUUCACGUUUUACACUUACUGACUAUAAGUACUCGACUUUCCAAUAUUUUGCAACAUAUCCAAAGCUCAAUCUUUAUUCUAUGACAUAAUUCCUUAUACUCUUACUUGCUGCCAACAGAGCUUGUAAUAUUUAGAAAAUUAAAAAUUUACAUCAGCUUGUUAGAAAGUUACUUUAAUUUAUUUAUUUUUUUCAAAAAAAUUGAUUGACAAAAGGAAUACAAGUUAUUUGUUAAUUGAGGAAUACUCCAUAUAUUGUCCAUUCUUUACAGCAAAAGGUUCAUAACAGACCCUAUCGUAGGAUUUGUGGUAUUCUUGAGUUAGAUUUUGGACUUAUACACUACACUAUAUUCCAACAAAAUUGUUUAAACAACUAUUUUUCAUUAAAUCAAUUGAUUUUUUUCAUGAAAAAUAAAUUUGAAGAAUAUAAAUAAAAUAAAAUAAAACAAAGUGGGGUAAGAGGGCUCAGGUAAUUAAGUGAUCAAAAAUUAAAUUAUUUAUACAUGGUUAAAAUUAUUUUUUAUGUAUAUAUAAUUGAUGUUGAACCCCCUUCAUCUAGAUUCGUGUGCCUAGUUCUUUCGAUUUUGAACCCCCUUAGUGAAAAUUCUGGCUCCGGCACUGAUUGUAAAGCGAUAGCGAGAAACACCUCUUAUUCAAGAAUGUUGAAGGGAGUUUUUUUUUUUUUUAAUUAAAGAGUGUCUCUUCCACUGAUCGUUAGUUCUAAUAAACGUAUUUAAAAUUUUGCAGUAAGUGAUUAAUUUUUUUAAAAAAAUGUUAUGUUUUUGACAAUUUUGAAGGUUAUCAUUGCAUUGACAACGGGUGCAGCAGGAUCAGCAGCAGCCAUAGUAUAUGUGGCUCACAAUGGAAACCAAGAUGCAAAUUGGCUAGCAAUUUGCCAACAAUUUGGAGAUUUUUGCCAAAGGGCCAGUGGAGCCGUGGUGGCCGCCUUUGUCACGGUGGUGAUCUUGAUCCUCCUGGUCGUUCUGUCUGCUUCAACUCUUCGAAGACACUAAAAAUGAGUUCGUCUUUAUGAAAAAAAUAUUCACUACUUUGCACAAUGCCUUCAUUUACAUGUUUCUAUAUUUCGAAAUUGGGCAAAAUGGUGAAAAGUACUUGUUAUGUCAUCCUUGUAUAUUGGGAAAAAAAAAAGAAUAAUAGUGCUAUUGGAUCUUAUUGUUGAUGUCUUUCCUUUGUUUUGUUAAGGUGUGGAUCUUGUGUUUCUGUCUUUAUUUAAAGACGGAAUACAUAUGAAGGCCCCUGAACUAUUUUACUUUUCUCGUAUAGGUACCUCAAUUAAGUCAGGUACCUAUUGAAUCCUUUGCUCCUUCACAAAUGCUUUCAAUUGAGCCCAAUUUACUAACGUGGCAAAAAAUGUAAAAUGUGUGUAAUACACACACUGAUGAUGUGACAAAGUGACGAAUUAAAUGACUAAACGUGGCAUUUUAAUUUAAAAUAAUUAUAAAAAUAAAUUUCUAAUAUAAUUAAAUCUAAAUUUUUGUUAAACAAAAUCAUUAAUACCCCUCCCCCAAAACAAACUCAACCUACCCGAUCCUCCCUCUCCCUCCCCCUCCCCCCUCCUUCUUCCCUUCCAAACUUACUUUCUUUAUUUUUGAGCAGACAAGAAAAAAAAAUGGUUCUUCAUUUUUUAACAUAGAGAAACAUUUCUUUUUGAACAAUUCAAAUCUCUUAGAAGGACUGAAUUAUCAAUCUGAUUCAAAUAAAUCGGUACAUUCUUCUCCGAAUUCAGGUAAAAAUUAUUGAAAGGUGUUGUUUUUGAACAGAAAUUUAAAGUUGGGUGUGUUAAUGCUGAUAUAAGUAAAUGUAGCUCGAUAUUGAAGAGGAAAAAGUGUAGUGAAGAUUCGGAUAACGUAAGUAAAAUCCAAAAGUCGACUACUUUUUCGUUAAGUGAUAAUGGUAAUAAUUUUGAGGAAGAAUCGGUUCCUAUUUCAAAAUCGAAACUUCAGGCAGCAGCGCCCGCGUCAAAAAGUAGCAAGAAAGUGGCGAAAAAGAAGAGUGAGGUGAAAACUAAGAAGGUUGCUAGUAUGCUUCCUUGGUGUGUUGUUCUUCAUGGUGCUCUUUGGUUGGUUGUUCCUUUAUUGAAUGUGAGAUAUGGAGGUGUGAGGCUUUUUUCGUGUUCUUUUUCUUGGCCUCUAUAGGAUUCCGAAUUACAAGUCAAAAAUUCUUGCUACCAAUGAGUACGUUGUUUCCUGUUAACCUGGUUUGCAAUUUCAGUUAACAUUGAAUGUUGAUAGAUGGUAACAAACUAUUGUUGCUUCUCUAAGACCAUGGAUUUGGAUUACAUUUGUCUUGAUUAAUGUUGAAGUCGGUCAGGUUGUGUUUCACAAAAAAAAAAAUAUGGAGGUGUGAGGGAGCCAUUUACAAAUGGAGAUUUUUGGGAGUGGAUUUUCGGAUAAACAUCACGGAAGAAUCUUUCACAUGUUUGCUUUGAGAAUUUAGGAGUUAUGAAGAUAUGCUAUUUUUUGUAUAUAGAAAAAAUGAAAAAUAGUGAGUUACGGAGAAGAAGAUGAUGUUAUUUUUUGGAUGUAAAAAUAAUAGAAAAUGGUAGAGUUAUGGAGAAGAUGAUGCUUUUUUUUUCUUUUUAAUUCUUUAAUAUGUCUUUUUUUAAUUGGUUGGAUUUUUUAUGUUUAAUUUUUUUUUUAUGAAUUAUCGUCUCUCAAUCUUCUACUGGAGAGUAUAUUACACAUGUCACGCCAUGUCAGCGCCACAUUAGCAAUUGUGUUCAAUUGAAAUGUUUUAUGAAGGAGUAAAGGGUUCAAUAGGUACCUGCCCUAAUUGAGGUACCUAUACAGAAAAAGUCGAAUAGUUGAGGGGCCAUUAUAUGUAUUUAGCCUUAUUUAAAAGGGGAAUUUGAAAAGUCUUGUAAAUCACAUUGGGAAAUUCAGGGAAUUUAUGUUCCAAAUUAUGUUGUAAUUUUUAUAGUGAAUUUUGUAUGUGUAAACACCUAUUUUUUUACCAAAGCUAAGUAUUUUUUUCCCGCCAUUUUAGUGUUCAACUUUUUUUUUUAGGGUCGAAAUUAGAUAUUUUAAGUUUAUCUUAUUUUUACUAAAUUUGUUUUAAAAUUUUUGAAAAACUACAAAAAUAGAGUCACAUUUUUAAAUAAGUUUUUAUUUUUGUUGUUUAUUCAUUUAUUUAUUUAUUUUAGGAAAAAAAAUUUCUAAAUUAUAUUUUUUUUCUUCUUUUAAAUUUUAAUAAAAAAUCUAGUGAUAUUAAUAUUUCUUAAUCAUAUUUCUAAGACUAGCUAUUUAACUUAUUUUGUAUUUUGAUAGUUUUAAAUAGAUUUUAUUAUGUUUAUUUUAUUUAAAAUAUUAAUUAAAAAAAAAAGGAAAAAAACUUAUCUUAAACUACCCAAUCUUCCCACUCCCCUCAAUCUCUCUCAUGUCCUCCACUUUCCCAUAUACAUGUUAUGCAUAACCCCCACAUUUCAUUUUUUCUGGAACACCACAUACGACACACCAUUAUAUAUUAACACACAACACAACAUAAAGGAAGGGAGUUGAAAAAAAAAGAGCAAAAACAAACACUUUGAAAACAAAAGAAAGAGAGAAACCAGAAAGAGGAGAAAGAGUAGUAGGAACCAAAGUUAGAGAAAACUCAGAAACAGAAGAGGAAAAGCCAUUAGAAAAAUACGGAAAGGAAGUGGCGAGUUUGAGUUUGGAUCCCCUCCAAGUUUUCGGUGAUGACGUUUACUUCUUUACUUGGUUUAAUUCGUCAUACAAGUUCUUAUUCAAUUCAUGUACAAUUAUUGUUAUGAUGUCAUGGCUUUUACAUUAUUUACUAUGUGCAGUUUAUUACUUAUAUGUAGUUCUGGCCUACGUCUUCAUCUAUAACUUGUGUGUUAUUUCUUUUGAAAUGAUUUCGGUUAGAUUAGCUUAGAAAUUAAUGUACAGUCGUGUUAUGAAUCACAACUUGUGACUUGUGAGUGCAUGCAUGCAUGUAAAAACCAAAAAAUAUAAAAAUAAGGAAAGGUAUGAAUUCAAGUGAAGAGGUUGGGAAAAAAAUCUUGCCUUCAUAUACAUAUGCUGCAAUUUGGAUCUUUCUUUCCUUCACUGUAAUUGUAUAUAACAAGUAGGUACAUCUUGGAUCGUGAGUUAUAUAAUUGACCUUAUCCAAUUUCACUAAUAAUAAUUCAUAUGAUGACUUUUAUUUACCAUUGGCAUAUCUACUUGUUCGAGUGUUUAAAGUUAUUGAACCUGUAACAAUGAAAUAAUGAAUUUGUAAGCUUGGAAUGAAAAUUUUACCAACUCAUAAACCUAUUUAAAGUUAUUCUUUUUUUAAAAUAAAUGAAUUACUCUUAGUUGUACCAACUGAGCUUCUUUUACCUGCAAACAAAAGGUAUUACUCUUAGCUUUUGUUUCAUUUAAUAAUAACACUAUUUUUAUAUAUUUAUUUUAAAAAUUAAUCAAUUUUGAACUUUUGUAUAUCAUUUUCAAUAAUAUACUUUUAUCUAGAACCAAACUUUUAUGACAUGUUUAAGAUCAUACAUUUCAAAAGUUACUUUAAAAAAAAAAUUCAUGGUUAUUUACUAAGGUGCAAUUUGGAUUAAAGCAUGAUUAUCUAAUGAUCAAGUCAAACUUGAUAAAAAACAUACACUUUUUUUCAUUAUAGUGUGGGAAAGGUUAAAUAAGGGACUAAGUCCCCAUACUGAGACAAAGGAGGCUACCAUUAUCAUACAUCGCAAAAGCCGCAGUUACAUUACUGAUAGUAGCCAUCAAAACUAUACACUAUUAUUAUAUAUACAACGUGGGUGGUGGAAAUUUAUUUGUAAAAAUGAUUAUUUAUACUUAUUGUUUACUAGAAUUUGAUGUGUAUUUAAAUGAGACCCACUUCUUUUUAAAAAUCGCAUGCAAGUGAAGAUUAACGAUGAAGUUGGAAAGCCCUGCUACUGAUCAUUCGUUAUAAUAAAAUUAAUCUAUCGUUUGAAGCCGAUUGAAUUGGGUUGGGCAGAUUUUAAACCUAUUAGGUGCUUAUUUAGACUAGAAAAAUGGAGACGGCUCAUAAAUGCCUCAAAGACGCGAGAAAUAUAUCAAAAUUUGUAGUAAGGCCGGAAAGUACUGCUACCGGUAAAGCUACGUAAUCAUAUAAUAGACAAUUUUAAAUAUAUUUCAAAAAUAAUAGAAAGCAGGAUAUAAGAGUCAUUUCUAGGCUAAUAAAUAUUCCAUAUCCAAAAGAUUAAUUUAAGCCAGACAUAAGUCAUUAAAGCGACCGUGCUAGAACCACGGGACUCAAGGGGUGCCUAACACAUUCCCCUCGAUCAACAGAAUUCCUUAUCCGAAUUUCUAGUUCGCAGACCAAAAAUAAAGAGCCAUUUCCUUUUGAACACUGUAAAUAAAAUAAUCCCUACUCAAAACGUCACUUUAAUUGAAAAAAUCCAUUUUCUCAAAACCAACUCCUUAGCGGGGUCGGGGGUGGUAAAAAAACAAGGGUGUGACAGAUAGCGACUCCGCUGGGAAAAACCAGAAUUUGAGCUUGUAUAUUUACUUGUUUGGCUUUAUAUAUUUUGAAAUAUUGUAUUUGUUGUCCUAAAUGUGCUAUUUGCCUACAUGUUUAACUGCUUUGAUAUUAUUUGAAUUGCAAUAUAAACUGUCUUCUCUCACGCACCCAUCUGAGUCUUUUGAGAUACUUUAUAUUCGGAGAUGCGAUAUACGCUCCCAAGUUUGAGAUACCAGAGAUUCGGAAAUGCUCCUGGGAAGGAUUCUGUAGUCACCCAUGAUUUAGGAUAGGAAUGGACCAACAGUGAGGCCGAAAAGCCCUGCUACCGGUAAAGCUGUCCCUUGCCGACUCGAGUUGUCCGCUCAUUUUACAGCCAGUCUAGAUACCUAACUCCACCAGUUUGAACCUAGCAUAACUGGAACUUAGACAUGACUAUCCCUAAUAGGCUGAGCUUUAUUUGCAUCACGUGCAUUUUUUACUUAAUGGGGCUCGACACGGGGGUCGGGUCCGUCUAGGACAAGUGCUACCUUUUGAGACCAUCAUGUCUAUUUUAUGUGCUACUUGUCGCAUUAUAGGAAAUGUCAUAUCGAAUGUUGACCGACUUUUAAGUGAAUUAAUUGAUCUGAAUAAAAAGGGGUCAAAUAAAAAAUUUUAAGGGCUUAUUUUAGAAAAUAUAUAAUAUUUUUACAUAGAAAUUUUCUGUAAAGAUAAGUCAUUUUAACAUCGGGGUCUCGUUAUGUCCAUUUUCUUUGGUUUUAAAAUCUCUCUUAAGAAUAUCAUAGAGCCCAUUUUUGUUAAACACAGUUAAAAUUUUAUCAAACAAUUCGGUCCACCAUUUUGUUUCAAUAAUUUAAUUAUUUCUAAUGUGUCUGGUCCAAACGUCAUCAAAAUAUUGUCUGCACUCUAAGAUGUUUUAGAAGACUUGGAUACUUCCUGUUUUGUUGUUUGCUAUUUUUCUUAUACUCAUUUUGAAAUCUUAUUCUAUGUCAUUCCGUCAACUUCUUUCGAAAAUUAUUUUUGUCUCAUUUUAGGAUGUUUAAAAUAGAAUUCUUAUUUUCCAUCAUUAUCCUAUAGGGCAAUAAGAAAUCAUUCAAAAGGAGUGAGAAGAGGCCGAGGGAAGAUGAAGUACCCCAUUUCAUGAUGUUAGAUAAAACUCCGGACCUGUUGCGGACAUGGUAUUACAAUAUGACUGAACAUGGACAAGGAUUAGUGUAUAAACACUUGGGAUUUUUAAGGAGUAUUUUGAAUGUUGAACCACGAAAAGAUGUAAUAGAAGCUUUGGUACAGUUUUGGGAUCCGUCGAACAAUGUAUUCCGGUUCUUCGACUUUGAGCUCACUCCCACACUGGAAGAAAUAGGAGAAUUUAUGGGAAAAGGAAAGAAUCUUCACUGAGGAGAGCCUAUGAUACCGAAGCAUGUCACUGGAGAAAGGUUUUUUGAGCUGUUACACAUAAAAGAGGAUAACAUAGGGGGCUUUUUAGACAAUGGAUGGGUUCUUCUAGAGUUCUUGUACGAAAGAUACGGCCAGAAAAAUGGAUUUGAGUUGUUUGGGCUGUAACUUAACAACGACGGGUGCCGCCAGACCUGGAAAAAGCACAGUUACGAUGCAUUCAUAGUGACCUUUUUGUGAAUCAUGGUAUUUCCAAAGAGAGGGGGAAAAUCAGCACAAAUCUGGCUGUAUUCAUUACCGCCUUUAAGAAGAAUCCUAAGGUCACCCUCGUGCACAUGAUCCUGGUGGACAUUUAUCGGGCCCUAACGAUGUGUAAAAAUGGGGCAGAUUAUUUUGAAGGGUGUAACAUUCUGUUGCAGUUAUGGAUGCUCGAGCAUGUUUGUUAUCAUCCAUUUAAUGUAGAUUUUCAAGUUUGAGUGGAAUGAUUAUAUCAAAGGUCAUAAGAAGAGGAUGGAGGACCAAAACUUUUCCGAAGGAAUCGGAGCUUGGAAAGAAUACUUGGAGGGGUUAACUGCUGACAAGAUUGUGUGGAAUUAUCAUUGGUUCCCUUCUAAGAAGGUGAUAUAUAUGUCCAAUUUCCAUACUUUCAUCAUCUUAAUGGGUCUUCGAGGUGUUCAGCCCUACGUGCCACUCAGAGUCAUGCGGUAGUUCGGCCCACGACAGCACCUACCGCCAGUCGAGGAUAUUAAAGAGUUCAAGUACGAAUUUCUCCCUGACAUCUCUCUAAGGAAGUCUGAGAUACUUAAGAUUUAGGGAGGAUGUGUACUUUCAGGUUUCGAGCACAUGGUGGAACACCACGACAAGGGGAGAUAGAAUGUUGGUAUCUACCAUGGUUUCAUGAUCAGCCCCCUCCUAAAGCUAUGCCAAAAAGUCCAGCCAGAGAUCCAGUGGAUCGAGAAGCAGAUAUUAAAGUCAUAAUUAAGCAGGCGCGAUGAGAGGUAGAAGAGAACUAUCAGUCUACUCUGCACAUCUUAAAUGCAGAUCUGGAAAGGGCUAGAGAGAAAUUAGUUCGUCAUGAGGCAUGAUUUGAGGCUAGAAUUAGGUCGGUUCGUAAGGAGGUUGAGAAAGAGCACCGUGUUACCAUACAAACCCUACAAGAAGACCUGGACAUUGCCACCAGUGCUAUGGAGCAGCAAUCGAGUGAUUUCGAGAAAGAGAAGGUUUUGCUGACAAGUACACAGUCGAAGCUUUGGGCUCAGCUAAAAGCUUCUAUGGAACGGGAAAGACAAAUAGUGAGGUGCUUCAUGACUUUUCAGAAGGAAUUUGAAGUUGAGAGAAACUAAUGGAUGACCUAACGAUAGGCGCUUCACUAUCAGAUGGAUGACCUUCAUGAACAAGAAGGAGACCUAAAGCAUACCGUCCGUACUACGCAGCAUUGGGUGCAAAACUGCCAUGAGAGUAUGAUUGAAGCUAGGGGAGAGGUACUUCAGCUCAGUGAAACCUUUAUUGAUGUUUAUGCUAAGUAUCUUCACCGAAAUGAUGAAAAUUUGGGUCAUCAGGCAUGUGCUCUCGCUCCACAUCUGCCAAAAGCAUUGUCCAGAUCAACUCAAGUUUGAAGGAAGAUUGGGUCUCAAGACAUCUUUAGGAGGCAUCUGAUGAUAGUUCAUUCAUUCCUUUAGGUUUAGUUUACUAAGUCCGUUAGGUUUGUUUUUUUUCUAAAAUUUAGUUUCUCUAUAAGUAUUUGUUUUUUAGUAUUUCGUCAGUAUUUCGAGUCUAUUCUAGUUUUAGAUAAUUCUAGAACAUUUGGAAAUGUAUGGAAAAUGUUUGAUCAAAUAUUUUCCAAACUUUCGAGUAAUAAUUUUAAAAUAUUGGCGUUAAAUAAUGAGUGUAAAAAUUAAUUCACCAAAAGCCAGGAUGAAACAAGAAGGCUUUCCUAAUUCCAUUUCAGGAAUGAAAAUUACUUAGAUGCAAGACAUGUAAGCUAUUAUGAAUAUAUCAAUAUUUUUAAAGCUCUAAAUCCUAAAAUAUUUGUUUCUGUUUCAUGCACAAGUCAGUAAGGUGGUUGGUUGUGGUUAAGCUGGCCUAUCACUCGUACAACACAAGGUAUAAAGGAAAAAGGAAGAUGACUCGAAAAGAUGGUAUGGAAUCUGAUAACGAAGAAGGUCAGAUCAAUUAACUCCAUGAGAGUUUGUAUCUUUAGAGGAGAAUAGGUUAUUGAAGCAACAAAUUGUGGAAAUGUAUCAGGCCUGGGCGAAUGGACAAGCCCUGCCUUCCUCCAUUUUCGGUCUUUCGGAUGCAAAUCAUCCCAGUUCUACUCAAGCCCAAGCCGACGAUCCACUUUAUCCGCCUGGAUUUGGACCUUACGCUAAUGUGUCUAGCACUGCUAGCAUAUCCACCAUGCGUCCUCCAAAUCCAUCGUUCAUGAACAACCCACUUUUUAUUCCGGUCGUGCCAACUAAUAAAAUUCCUCCAUCAAUGAUACAAAAGCCUACCGAUGAGCUGAAUCAUGAUCAAGUCCAUCCUCCUGAAUUGGUGCUCAAACCUAUAAAUUCAUAUCAGCCCACUUAUCAUCUUGAGUCUCAUAUCGUGAUUGAGAAGGCUAUUAUGAAUGAAGAACGAGAAGAGAUAGCCAGAAAAGUGAGGAGUCUGGAGCAGAGUAUGAGAAACAUACAAGGAUUGGAAGGACACAAAAGUGUCUCUUUCAAGGACCUGUGUAUGUUACCUAAUAUUCAUUUGCCAAUAGGGUUCAAGACACCAAAAUUCGACAAAUAUAGUGGUCAUGGUGACCCGGUCGCCCACUUAAAAAGGUAUUGCAAUCAACUCAGAGGAGCAGGAGAGAAAGAGGAGCUGUUUAUGGCCUAUUUCGAAGAAAGUCUGACAGGAAUAGCCUCCGAAUGGUUUAUCGAUCAAGAAAUCUCCCAUUGGCACAUUUGGGACGAUAUGGCUCAAGAUUUUGUACAACAAUUUCAAUAAAAUAUCAACAUUAUCCUUGACCGUACUUCUCUCACUAAUAUGAAGAGAAAACCAUCUGAAAAUUUUCGAGAGUAUGCCAUAAAAUAGAGAGAACAGGCGUCUAGAGUCAAACCGCCAAUGAAGCACCAGGAAUUGAUUGACGUUUUUCUCCAAACUCAAGAGCCGAUUACUUCCAUCAUUUACUAUCCGCGGUUGGUAAGCCUUUCGCCAAAGCCAUAAAAAUUGGGGAAAUGGUGGAGAAUGGCAUCAAAUUAGGAAAAAUCGUGAGCCAAACCGCCCUCAAGGACACUACACAAGCCAUUCAGAGUGGAUCAGGUGGUUUUGAAAAUCAGAAAAAGAAGGAGGAAGGAUCCAUGAGGGCAUCAGGACCGGGCAAUGCCCAAAGGGGACGGAAGUACCCUUAUGUUCAGGUCCAACAGGGGCAACCCAACCCUCCUCAACAUUAUUAGACACCUCAACCUGUUGUUCUUAAUGCUCAAGCGUAUGCCCGACCUCCUCAGCGUCCAUAAUGGCAGGCACCUACACUACAAGGUUUUCAUCCGUGCAGCCAAAUUUUUAAGCCACUCGUAAUCCGUAUGUUCAGGCAGAUGAUACAAGAGAACAGAGGCCAAGGGAAAACUUCACCCCAAUUAGAGAAUUAUACACGAACCUAUUGCGGAGGUUGAUAAAAUUAGGAUGGAUUGAACCUAUUUUUCCCUUCAAAGUGGAUCCAAAUACAAGUUGGUUUGAUCCUAAUGUAAGGUGUGAGUACCAUUCAAACGUCCAAGGUCACAGUACCGAAAAUUGUUGGAAUCUAAAGAGAGCCAUUGAAAAGUUAAUUAAAAGAAAGGCAAUAAUAAUACAAAAAGAGAAAGCACCGAAUGUCACUGACAAUCCACUUCCCAAUCGCAGUAACACAUACAUCGUGGGGAAGAUUUUUGACGAUAAAGACUACAGGCCAACAAGCCAAGCAGUGAUGAAAAUAGGCACCCCAAAGGAAAACCCGGGUGAAGCAGUGAAGUCUAUGCAAAGAGAACCACUAAUCGUGAAAAGAGCAAGUUCCAUUAUAAGACCCCGAGAUUCAAAAAAGAUGGUAUUGUAUGUUCCUGCAAAGCCAAAGAGAAUAGCACAAGAUGGGCCAAAACUAUAUGUUUCGAGUGGUCUCGCAUGGUUGUACCAACAGCUCAACAACAUGAGAAAAAUAACAGAGCCAGUUAUCAUAAGACAUGCAACACAACUCCCAGUAAUAAGUUUGAAAACCAUCCCAUGGAACUACAACAAAACCACUGUGACUUACAAAGGAAAAGAGAUCCUGGAAGAGACAAACGAAGCAGGAGGCUUCACUUGAUCAUAAAGAUGUUAUGCUCCAGAAGAAUUAAGGAGACCAAAACAGUAUAAAGAUAGUCAAGGGCCAGUGAAAAAACUUAUCACAACGAAGAGGCUGAGGAAUUCCUUAAGAAAAUGAAAGUUCAAGACUAUUCCAUUGUUGAUCAACUGAGGAAAACCCCAGCUCAAAUCUCAUUGUUGUCCCUGAUGCUACAUUCUAAAGAACAUUAUCAGACAUUGAUUAGGUUUUUGAAUGAAGAAUAUGUCCCGAAGGAAACUACGGUCUGUCAAAUGGAAAGGAUGGUUCACAGAAUAUUUGAAGUAAAUAGAAUCACUUUCACUGAUGAUGAGUUACCUACAGAAGGGUCUGGUCAUAACAAAGCUUUACAUCUAACAAUCAAAUGUGAAGGACAAUACAUAAAAGGGGUAAUAAUCGAUGGAGGUUCAGGAGUAGAUAUCUAUCCCCUCUCUACUUUGCAAAAAUUAAAAAUUGGCACAGAUAGGAUCUGAUCCAAUAAUGUAUGUGUUCGGGCUUUCGAUGAUGCAAAAUGAGACACACUUGGUAAGAUUGAUCUUGCUUUGAUUAUUGGACCGAUCGAAUUCGUGAUCACCUUUUAAGUAAUAGACAUGGAUACUUCCUACAACCUACUUUUAGGAAGGCCAUGGAUCCAUACAGCCAUAGUCAUACCUUCUACUUUGUACCAAGUGGUUAAGUUUGAACACGACAAUCAGGAAAUUAUUCUUCACAGAGAUGAUGACCUUCCCAUACAUUGAGAUCCUUCUGUACCUCGUAUCAAAGAAAAAGGGGUUAUGAAUCUUCAAUUUAUCAGGCUUUUGACAUUUUGACAGCUGAUCAAAUUAUGGAAGGCACGCUGAUUCUGGGGCCUCAUCUCUCUUCUACUUUAAUCAUGAUGGCUAGACAAAUAUUACAAAAUGGUUAUGAAUCGGGGAAAUGAUUAGGGGUUUCGUUGCAAGGAAUUAUAAGCCCUAUAGAUCCAUGUGGUAUCCAUAAAACCUUUGACUUAGGCUUUAAGCCUACCACAACAGAUAGAAAAUGGGCGAAAGAGCAGAAGAAGAAAGCUUGGAAAUUGACCAAUAUGGUUUCACACAUCAGCCAAUCUUUCAUGAAAGCUCAAAAUGAAGAGAAUCAAGACUCACCUGCUACUAAGGAUGUGGAUGAAAUAUGUCAAGGUCUCGAGAAAUUGUUCUACAAAUUAAACAUGGUUCAUAUGGGUGAAUGCCCUAGCCAUGCAGAGGUGCAGUUCAUCAGAUCAAAUGUCAAGCUCACUAACUGGGAAGCCACUCCUCUCCCCACAAAGAAGGAGUCUUGGUAGUUUAUUUGUUAUUUCGCUUUUAUUUUUUUUGUAUUUUGGAUUAUUCUCAGGAUUGUAAUGCACUUAGAUUAGUUGCUUUACUUUGAUGAUAACCCUUCUAUCCUUUUCAAUUCAAUGAAAUAAAAUUCAAAUUUUCUAGUAAAAUUUACCUUUUCUUCUCUUUUUAAUUUUCAUUUUUAUAUUAUUUCAGUUAUGUUAAUACUAGCUUUAAUAACAUAGCAUGCAUGUGGAGUUCACACCUAGAUCCUAAAAAGUUGUCUAAUCUCGAAUCAAUAAAUCAAAUAGUAGAUGAAUACGAUGAAGAUGAAACUGAUAAGGAAGUCAAAAAAAGAUUGGAUCAAUUCGAGGAUAAGCCCAAACCCAAUUUAGAUGAUACUGUGAUAAUAAAUUUAGGAUUUGCUAAGGAAUUUAGAGAAAUAAAGAUAAGUAUGCAUGUGGAUCAAAAUAUCAGGAACGCUAUUAUUCAAAUUUUGUUCGAGUAUAAAGAUGUUUUUGCCUGGUCUUAUGACGAUAUACCGGGUUUAAGAACUGAUUUGGUAGUCCACAAGCUCCCUACAUACCCUGAUAUUCAGCCGAUCCAGCAAAAGCAAAGAAAUUUUAAAAUUAACAUGAACGAUAAAAUCAAAGAGGAAAUUAUGAAGCAAUUGAAUACAAACGUGAUCAGGGUCGCUCAGUACACCACAUAGUUGGCUAAUGUGGAGCCCGUACCUAAGAAAGAUGGUAAAAUCAGAGUUUGUGUUGAUUAUAGGGAUUUGAACAAAGCAAGCCCUAAAGAUAGCUUUCUGUUACCCAAUAUUCAUAUCCUUGUUGAUAAUUGUGCUAAACAUGAGAUUCAAUCUUUUGUGGAUUGUUAUGCCGGGUAUCACCAGAUCUUGAUGGAUGAAAUAGAUGCAGAAAAGACUGCUUUCACCACCCCAUGGGGUACUUAUUGCUAUAGGGUUAUGUCAUUCGGUUUAAAGAAUGCGGGAGAUACAUACAUGAGAGCUAUGACUACUAUUUUUCAUGACACGAUGCAUAAAGAAGUAGAAGUAUACAUUAAUGAUGUCAUUAUUAAGUCCAAAAUGCAAGUUGAUCAUGCAUAUAACUUGAAGAAAUUCUUUCAAAGGUUGCGAAAGUAUAAUCUUAAGCUUAAUCCAGCCAAGUGUGCAUUUGGAGUUCCAUCUGGGUAACUCUUGGGUUUCAUAGUCAGUUGUAGAGGCAUUGAAUUAGACCCCUCCAAGGUAAAAGCUAUUUGAGAAUUUCCGCCUCUAAAGAAUAAAACUGAGGUCAAGAGUUUUCUAGGGAGGUUGAAUUAUAUAAGUAGGUUCAUUGCUCAGCUCAGAACUACAUGUGAACCGAUAUUAAAGUUGCUGAGAAAAUAUGUUUCUAUUAAAUGGGCAGACGAAUGUCAAGAAUCAUUUGACAAGAUUAAAUAAUAUUUGGCGAAUCCUCCAGUAUUGGUCCCACCGGAACCUGGUAGGCCUUUAUUUAUAUAUCUGUCAGUGAUGGACAACUCUUUUGGUUGUGUUUUAGGACAAUAUGACAUCACAGGUAAAAAGGAACAGGCAAUUUAUUAUUUGAUCAAGAAGUUCACAAGUUAUAAGGUAAAAUAUACUCUUUUAGAAAAGACAUGUUGCGACCUAACUUGGAUUGCUCAGAAAUUGAAGCAUUAUCUAUCGUCCUAAACAACCUACCUCAUAUAUCGAAUGGAUUCUUUGAAGUAUAUUUGUUAGAAACCUAUGCCCACAGGCAGAUUGGCAAAGUGGCAGAUUUUACUUACAGAGUUAGACAUUGUGUAUGUCACUCGUACAGCUAUGAAAGCACAAGCAUUGGCCGAUUAUUUGGUAGAGAACCUAGUUGACAAUGAUUAUAAGCCUUUACGAAUCUACUUUCCUAAUAAAGAGAUUAAUUCAACUGAGGAUGAUGUUUAAGAGGAUGUUUAUGUUUGGAAAUUAUAUUUUAAUAGAGCGGUCAAUGUCAAAGAAAUAAGGAUUGGGGCGGUUCUUGUCUCACCAACUGGGCAUCAUUAUCCCGCCGCAGCAUGACUGUAUUUUCUUUGUACUAAUAAUACAGCAGAAUACGAAGCUUGCAUCAUGGGUUUAAAUAUGGCAAUAAAUCUGAAUAUACGUUUGCUAGUGGUGUUGGGAGAUUCCGAUUUGCUCAUUCGACAAAUUCAAGGUGAAUGGAAAACUAGAGAUAUCAAGCUCAUUCCAUACAAACAGGAUUUAGAGGACCUUAGCAAAAAGUUCAAGUCUAUCAAGUUUAGAUAUAUUCCUAGAUUCCACAAUGAGUUGGCUGAUGCUCUGGAUACCUUAGAUUCCAUACUCCCAUUCCCAGGAAAUACGUAUAUCGAACCAUUGGAGAUACAGAUAAAAGAUCAACACGGUUAUUGCAACAUAAUUAAUGCAGAGCCAGAUAAUGAGCAUUGGUACUAUGAUAUCAAAUGCUUCUUAAAGUCAAAAGAGUAUCCAAUACACGCUAAUGCCGAUCAAAAAAGGACUAUUAGGCAGCUUGCUAAUGGUUUCUUCUUAAGUGGGGAGAUUCUAUACAAAUGAACUCCAGAUUUGAACUUAUUGAGAUGUGUUAAUAUUCGGGAAGCUGAAAGAAUCAUGAAUGAGGUACAUUUGGGAGUAUGUGGUUCGUAUAUGAAUGGCUAUGUUUUAGCGAAGAAGAUUAUGCGGGUAGGAUACUAUUGGUUGACUAUAGAGCGAGACUGCUUUCAUUUUGUUUGCAAGUGUCAUCAGUACCAAAUUCAUGGCGAUUUGAUUCAUUCACCACCUUCAGAGUUCCAUCCCAUGUCCGCUCCUUGUCCCUUUGUUACUUGGGGCAUGGACGUAAUCGGUCCAGUAGAACCAAAACCUUCUAAUGGGCAUCGAUUCAUACUGGUCGCUAUUGACUAAUUCACCAAAUAGGUAGAAGCUACUACUUUCAAAUCAGUCAUGAAGAAAGCAGUAGUGGAUUUUGUUUAGUCCAACAUCAUAUGUCGUUUUGGUAUACCAAAGUCCAUUAUCAUAGAAAAUGCAACCAAUCUCAAUAGUCAUCUAAUGAAGGAGGUUUGCGAGCAAUUCAAGAUUGUGCAUCAUCAUUCUACCCCUUACCGUCCCAAAGCAAAUAAAGCCGUUGAAGCAGCGAACAAGAAUAUUAAAAAGAUUCUUAGUGAAAUGGUCCAAGGAUCUCGACAGUGGCAUGAACAAUUACCAUUCGCUCUUUUAGGAUAUCGUACAACUAUCUGAACAUCGACUGGGGCAACUCCUUAUUUACUAGUCUAUGGGACUGAAGCUAUGAUACCGUAAAAAAAAAGAAAAAACGUAUAGUCAAAAACCCUCAUGGGCUCCAUAAGACAAUGAUGAACGAGGAAAACAAAAUUAGAGAGGUCAACUGUGAAAAUCCUAAAAGGAUAACUUUAGUCAAACAAAGUUUAUCAUGACAGGACAAAGAUCAAGAAGGAUGAUUUGAUUUGAUUGAAAGGUGCAGCCUAAUUUGAUAUUAGAUAGUUUUGAAGGGUCAAAUGUCUACUUCAAAUUGCGUGUCAUGCUUCAUUGAAGUUAAUAUACACCUCCAAAUAAGCUUCCUUCCUUUUCUGUUAGAAAUACCAACUAUUGAAAUAUAAUUUUCUUAUUUUUUUCUUUCUCUUUUCUCAUAUAUUUGUCUUUUCCUUGUUUCGUUGUAUACACUUUGGCUCUUUUUAUGCGUAAGUUUGACAUCAAAUGCAUUAUAAAGAAAGACGCACGAAAUUGACUAUGGUUCCCAAUGAAAUUGAGCUGAGAUUGUUGGGCGUACACCACCUUGACAAGGACAGGGAGCCGAUUGAGAUAAGUUUACAAGUACAAUGUUGAAAAUGAAGAAUAGAAUCAUACCGAAACAAACAAAGAUGCAAUAGAAGUUGAAAGGAGAAGGUCCAAGCUCGCCGACCAAUUAGUUGAAUCAACCGUAUCAAGUUUAGGUAGAGAUAAGGAAAACCUCCAAAGGAUUCAAGGCCACAAACCAACCACCAAUUUUUUAUUUUUAAAGAAAAAAAAAACUUACAAAAUUUUCUUUGUUUGAACAGGGGAAAAGCAGUCUUGUAAAGUUUGUUGGGAAAAACGAGUACAACCAUAGUGAAAGUUUCUUUAGAUUUUAUCCUUUCGUUAUACUCUUAUAAUUCUAAGGUUGCAUCAAUAUUAUAUAAUACUAAUAAAACCCCUCACAUUCAAAACUGGGGCAUAUACAUAUAUAUAUAUAUAUAUACAUAUAUAUUCAAAAUAAUAAUAAUAAUAAUAAUAACAAGAAAAAAAAAUCCCCUAGUUGACAUGUCCUUUCGUCUUCAUAGGGUGUCAUCCCCUAGUUGACAUCUUAUUGGACUUCAUAGGGCUCCAUCCCCUAGUUGACAUCUUAUUCGUCUUCAUAGGACAUCAUCCCCUAGUUGACAUCUUAUCUAGUCUUCAUAGGGCAUCAUCACCUAGUUGACAUCUUAUCUCGUCUUCAUAGGGCGUCAUCCCCUAGUUGACAUCUUAUUCGUCUUCAUAGGACAUCAUCCCCUAGUUGACAUCUUAUCUAGUCUUCAUAGGGCAUCAUCACCUAGUUGACAUCUUAUCUCGUCUUCAUAGGGCGUCAUCCCCUAGUUGACAUCUUAUUCGUCUUCAUAGGACAUCAUCCCCUAGUUGACAUCUUAUCUAGUCUUCAUAGGGCAUCAUCACCUAGUUGACAUCUUAUCUCGUCUUCAUAGGGCGUCAUCCCCUAGUUGACAUCUUAUUCGUCUUCAUAGGGCGUCAUCCCCUAUUUGACAUCUUAUUCUUCUUCAUAGGGCGUCAUCCCCUGGUUGACAUCUCAUUUGUCUUCAUAGAGCGGCAUCCCUUAGUGGACAUCGUAUUUCAUCUUCAUAGGGCAUCAUCCCCUAGUUGACAUCUUAUUCGUCUUCAUAGGGCGUCAUCCCCUAGUUGACAUCUCAUUUCAUCUUCAUAGGGCGUCAUUUCCUAUUUGACAUCUUAUUCAUCUUUAUAGGGAGCCAUCCCCUAGUUGACAUCUUAGGAAACACCAUUUCCUAAUUUUUCUUAUUCGUCUUCAUAGGGCGCCAUCCCCUAGUUGACAUUUUAUUUUGUCUUUAUAGGGCGCCAUCCCCUAGUUGACAUUUUAGGAAAUAAAACUUCCUAUUUUUCUUCUUUAUGUCUUCAUAGGGUAUGACAAUCCCUAGUUGCAUUUUAAGAAGCAAAUAUGCUAACUCUUUUUCAUGCAUUCAUAAGGCAUAACUUCCUUUGGUUGCAUUAUUGAGAAUAGAGUUCUUAUUUUAUUGCGUACCUAGCCUAGAUUUCUAUCAUUUUCAUUUAUUUAUUUAUAAUUUUUCUAAUAAAUCACAAAAUUUUCCUAGUGCAAAACUGGGGCAGAAAUUUUAUUCGUACUGUUUUGUUUUCUUUGAUGGCUUACGGGUUUUUCUACAAAGCAUGAAUUUGAUGUUGAGAAUGGAAUUUCAUCUCCGGUUAGAAUAUAGAAGAAUGAUCAGUUUGAAGAUAGUUAGAGUCAGCUUUGUAUCCGUAGUGGUCAAACAUCUCAAGAGACAUCUUUUUAGCUUCUAAUUAGGAGAACAAGCAUUCAAAAGUACUCUAUGAACCGUACUUUGAUAGAGUGUCAAUGACUCAAUCCAAGUUUCAAGGUCAAGUCUCAAAUCCUAACUUCAAGAUCAAAUUUUGAGAUCAAGGUACCCACCAAAGAAGGUGAGGCGAUAACUGAAUCCAAGACGAAGAUCUUAAGCAAGAGAAUCAAGACAAUUAGAAUAGCUAGGAUCUUGUAUCUUUCAUUUCUAGUUUCAUUUUUUUGAUGUAAUAAAAGGAGUCACGGACCUGAAACUCGACGGGACCUCAACUCGACUCUUAAACUCAUCCAUUCAUUAUUACACCCAUUUGGACUACAUGUGACCUGAUUCUCUUAUAACUUGAGAUAUGUAGGCUGCUCAAAGCAAGGGCUCAGUCACACCUCUUUCCCAAUAUUUAUUUUUUCUAUUUUUGAAUAAAUGGUUGGGCAAAAAAUUAGUCAUGUUUACUUCUUUACGUGAAAACUCUCCAUAUUUCCAAACAAAGAGGGGCAUUCUGUAAACACCUAAUUUUUGAAAAAACCUAAGUAUUUUUUUCGCCAUUUUAGUGUUCAACUUUUUUUUUAGGGUCGAAAUUAGAUAUUUUAAAUUAUCUUAUUUUUACUAAAUUUGUUUUAAAAUUUUUGAAAAACUACAAAAAUAGAGUCACAUUUUUAAAUAAGUUUUUAUUUUUGUUGUUUAUUCAUUUAUUUAUUUAUUUUAGGAAAAGAAAAUUUUCUAAACUAUAUUUGUUUUCUUCUUUUAACUUUUAAUAAAAAAUCUAGUGAUAUUAAUAUUUCUUAAUCAUAUUUCUAAGACUAGCUAUUUAACUUAUUUUGCAUUUUGUUAGUUUUAAAUAGAUUUUAUUAUAUUUAUUUUAUUUAAAAUAUUAAUUAACAAAAAAAAGAAAAAAAACUUAUCCUAAACUACCCAAUCUUCCCACUCCCCUCAAUGUCUCUCAUGCCCUCCACUUUCCCAUAUGCAUGUUAUGCAUAACCCCCACAUUCCAUUUUUUCUGGAACACCACACACGACACACCAUUACAUAUUAACACACACAACACAACAUAAAGGAAGGGACUUGAAAAAAAAAAAAGCAAAAACAAAAACUUUGAAAACAAAAGAAAGAGAGAAACCAGAAAGAGAAAAAAGAGUAGUAGGAACAAAAGUUAGAGAAAACUCAGAAAAAGAAGAGGAAAAAUCAUUAGAAAAGCAACUCAGAAAAAGAAGAGGAAAAAUCAUUAGAAAAGCACGGAAAGGAAGUGGCGAGUUUGAGUUUGGAUCCCCUCCGAGUUUUCGACGAUGCAGUUUACUUGUUUACUUGGUUUAAUUCGUCAUACAGGUUCUUAUUUAAUCCCUGUACAAUUAUUGUUAUGGUCGAUUGAAGCAUGAAUAAAGCUAUGCUCAUGGCUUUUACAUUAUUUACUAUGUGCAGUUUAUUACUUAUAUGUAGUUCUGGCCUACGUCUUCAUCUAUAACUUGUGUGUUAUUUCUUUUGAAAUGAUUUCGGUUAGAUUAGCUUAGAAAUUAAUGUACAGUCGUGUUAUGAAUCACAACUUGUGACUUGUGAGUGCAUGCAUGCAUGUAAAAAUCAAAAAAUAGAAAAAUAAGGAAAGGUAUGAAUUCAAGUGAAGAGGUUGGGAAGAAAAUUUUACUUUCAUAUACGUAUGCUGCAAUUUGAAUCUUUUUUCCUUCACAGUAAUUGUAUAUAACAAGUAGGUACAUCUUGGAUCGUGACUUAUAUAAUUGGCCUUAUCUAAUUUCACUAAUAAUAAUUCAUAUGAUGACUUUUAUUUACCAUUGGCAUAUCUACUUGUUCGUGUGUUAAAAGUUAUUGAACCUAUAACAAUGAAAUAAUGAAUUUGUAAGCUUGGAAUGAAAAUUUUACCAACUCAUGAACUUGUUUAACGUUAAUUUUUUUUAAAUAAAUGAAUUACUCUUAGUUGUACCAACUGAGCUUCUUUUACCUGCUAACAAAAGGUAUUACUCUUAGUUUUUGUUUCAUUUAAUAGUAACACUAUUUUUAUAUAUUUAUUUUAAAAAUUAAUUAAUUUUGAACUUUUGUAUAUCAUUUUCAAUAAUAUACUUUUAUCUAGAACCAAACUUUUAUGACAUGUUUAAGAUCAUACAUUUCAAAAGUUACUUUAAAAAAAAAUCAUGGUUAUUUACUAAGGUGGAAUUUGGAUUAAAGCAUGCUGAUCUAAUGAUCAAGUCAAACUUGAUAAACAACAUACACUUUGUUUCAUUAUAGUGCGGGAAAGGUUAAAUAAGGGACGAAGUGCCCAUGCUGAGACAAAGAAGGAUACCAUUAUCAUACAUCGCAGAAACCUCAGUUACAUUACUCAUAGUAGCCAUCAAAACUAUAUACUAUUAUUAUAUAUUUAACGUGGGUGGUGGAACUUUGUUUGUAAAAAUGAUUAUUUAUACUUAUUGUUUACCAGAAUUUGAUGUGUAUUUAAAUGAGACCCACUUCUUUUUAAAAGUCGCAUGCUACUGAUCAUUCGUUAUAAUAAAAUUAAUCUAUCGUUUGAAGCCGAUUAAAUUGGGUUGGGUAGAUUUUAAACCUAUUAGGUGCUUAUUUAAACUAGGAAAAUGAGGACGGCUCAUAAAUGCCUCAAAGGCGCGAGAAAUAUAUCAAAAUUCGGAGUAAGGCUGAAAAAUACUGCUACCGAUAAAGCUACAUAAUCAUAUAAUAGACAGUUUUAAAUAUAUUCAAAAAUAAUAGAAAGCAGGAUAUAAGAGUCAUUUCUAGGCUAAUAAAUAUUACACAUACAAAAGAUUAAUUUAAACCAGACAUAAGUCAUUAAAGCGAUCGUGCUAGAACCACGGGACUUGAGGAGUGCCUAACACCUUCUCCUCGGUCAACAGAAUUCCUUAUUCGGAUUUCUAGUUCGCAGACCAAAAAUAAAGAGUCAUUUCCUUUUGAAUAGUGAUUCAAUAAGGUGACUUGAAACACCCAAACUCAAUCCCAAGUAACGACUCUGUAAAUAAAAUAAUCCAUAUUCAAAACGUCACGUUAAUUAGAAAAAACCAUUUUCUCAAAAUUAACUCCUUAGUGGGGCGGGGGCGGGGGCGGUAAAAAAAUAAGGGUGUGACAGUAUGUGGUACUUUUCACCCCAUGUAUUAUGUCUCAAUUCCUAUAUUCAUCUUUUGUUGUCUGUCUAAUCUUAACUUCCAAAUUCCAAUUAUUAUUAUUUUUUCAAUUAAAACAAGUAUCUCUCAAAUUAUACAUUCACCUGAACCAAACAUGUAAAGGUUCAUCUCCCCAUUAUGCACACUUCAUAUGUUAAAACGAAUUUUCAAAAAUAACACAUUCAUGUAUAUAAUCUCUCACUCUCUCUCACACGCGCGCUUAAAAGUGUAAAGACCCUUUGAAAAACGGUUUAAACUUUUUGUCCUUCAUUAAAAAAACUUUUCUUUAGAUAAAAAUGUCUUUUCACUAUUUUAUGUAAUUUAUUAUUUAAUUAUUUUUAUGAUGUUAACUAGAUUCCUAAAUAUAUCGCACUCCUAAAAUAUGUGGAAAAAGAGUCAAUUAAUAUUUUUCUUUGUAAUGAUCAAUUACAAAAAUACUCUUAAAAUAGGAUAGAAAAAUACUUAGGACUCUAUUAGAGAAAUACUUCUAUAAAUAUUGAGAUGCAAGCUAAACUAGAGAAAGAAACUGGUUUACUUAUUGUAAAAAUAUAAUUGAUGUUCAUCUAACUUUAUUCGGUUGCAUCUAGAUUGAUGAAUGCUUAAUUUUUUAACCCUCAACUUCUUCACUAUUUUUCUGAACAUAAUAGAAUUCAAAGUGUGUAUAUUUAUAUAUGUUUUCAUUCAAGUCAUUCUUCAGUGUCAAAUUUUUUGCUCAGACAAGAAUUAUUUUUAUCAAAACUAAAGCUUUGUGAUCACUAUUAUUGUAUUAUUUUAUUGUGGUUUACACGUCAUAGAUGAAUUUACAGGUGGUAGAUGAAUGUCGGUUGAUUUUGAGAAAUUUUUUUAGGUAAAAGUUAGGUUUAAUUGUAUUGUUUUUAUAUCAUUGUUUUGAGAUUUUUUUUUUUGUGUGUGUAAAGUUAAAGUUUAAUUGUUUUAUAUAUAUAUAUAUAUAUAGUUUUCUUUUAGAGAUGUAUAUGAAACACCUACUCUAAGUGAAGAGUGAAGAAAAUCUUUUUGAAUUUUUUUUAAAUACGAUCCCCGAACCAACAAUAGGCUGAUUAUGUAUCUCACAUCCCGAAAGAGGAGAAUCAGGGGUGUGUAGUUCGUCCAGAUUGAACAAUUAAGGAUUAAAUGACAAACUAAACCCUGAAUUGAGAGACACGACUAAAGACAGACGAAUAAAAUCUUUUGUGAAUUUUUAAUUAGAAACUAACACCAACAACUAUGAAAGAAAAAAUCUUUUUGAUAUUUUCAUUAUAUACAAAUGUACAAAGCUCCUAUUGAAAGGAAAAAAUAUUUUUAGAGUUUUUCAAUUGUAAAUACUUACUAAAGAAAUAAAAGGAAAAUCUUUUUAACGUUUUUGAUUUUUUGAAAAAUGAGUGCAAAAAGUAAAAAAUAAUAUUAUUUUUUUUGAAUUGUGAAAAACAAAAGUCAUAAAGAAUCCUAAAAACUACCAAAUCUCUUUUCUUCACUCUUUUUUUUUCUUUCCCCUUUUUUUCAACAAUUUCUUGCCUACACACUUUACUUGUAACUCAUGCUUUUGCCCAAAUCAGUCUGUCAAAUGACUUUGUUACCCUAAAAAAUGCAAUAUUUAGCACGUAAGGAUGCUUUAGAGGUGAGUCUCCUACAAAGGGCCACGUGGGUCCCGCUAUAUCUCAAUAUAAUGUAAAUAUACAUGACCUAAAGACUGACUUGUGCUGGGGUUCACUAACAAGGUUGCUCGGGGGAGCGUAUGGUUGAUAGUGGUUGCGCUAGCUUUCCAUCCACUCCAUACCAGCCGACGGCUCCUCCUCUUAGAAAAUAUGGGUGACUCAACUAUAGGUCGUGUACACAGCAUAUACUACAAAACUUAUUGCAGAAAGAAUUGACUUGGAUUAUGCAAAUGAUGCUAGAUAUAAAGCGGUAACACAUAAAAGAAAAACUGUAAUCACGUAGCACGUAGGCACUCAACAACGAUAAACAAAUACAAACAAUAACACAAACAAUGUCUAUACACUCAUAAUGUCAAAACUAAGUCGAUAUAAUUCAAAAAAUAAGCUCGAAUUCUGAAAAGGAUCCCCAGCAGAGUCGCCAGAGCUGUCACACCCCUUUUUUUUCACUCCCAAAAUGAAUUAAUUUUUAAGUUUCGAAAGGGUUUUAUUAUUAAAGUGACAAAAGAUGAAAAUUGUUUCAAAAAAGGAUUCAUUCAUUUCAAAACUCAGAGUCGUCACUUGGCAUAAAUCAGGUGCGCCAAGUCACCCGUGGAUAUCCUUUUUCAAAACGAUUUUGACUCUAUAAAACUAAUCCGCGAACAGAGAUUCUGGUUAAGAAAUUUGUUGACCAAGGGGAAGGUGUUAGGCACCCUUACACCCCGUGGUUCGACCACGGUCGCUUGGUGGAGUAUAUCGGCUAAUUUGGAUACUAUGAAUGUAUAAACCACACCAAACAUAAAUAAAACGAUCAAUCAAGCAAACGAAUCCAAAAACAAUGUCCAGUUCAAUUAUACAAUCCAAAAUAGAAAAAGAAUGCGAAAAUGUAAAUCCUAUUCUACCCUACACUAAUUUUAUACUAUGCUCCCAUGCUACCCGAUGCCUCGGGUCUUCAUCACGGACGUCCUCCAAAUACAAAAUACUUUGGGGCAUUCCCGGCGAAUAAAUACAAGUGAUCGCGGGGCAUUCCCCGAUUAAAUGAAUACAUUUCCAAAUGCAAGAACUAAAACUAAAUCGUUCAACUCAAAUUUUACAUUCAAACAUUCAACAAGAAAACUUAUUCCUAAAUUUUUGCCUACCCGAACCAAUAUUCGCGUCUCCAUUUCAACAUAUCAUAAUUUUAUCACAUUCCAACAAUAUUCAUGCUCAUUACGAAUUAAACAAAACAACAAUAAACCAAAGCUAAUCUAAAUUCAACUUUUUUAUCAAUUUCUCAAUUUCAUCCCCCAAAUCCUUUUUUUAACCACAUUAUUAAACCAGUUCGACUAUCAAAUCACUUUUUAAAAUCCGAAACCAACAACACAUACCCCAACGAAGAUUCAAACAUUUAAGCAUACCAAUCAUUCAUAUCCACAACAACAAUUAACAUUUUUGCUCGAAAUAUUCAAAACCGCACCACAAAAUUACGAUAUUAACCAACUUCGAUAUAAUUAAAAGUAGAGUUGAGAGAUGGACCUUUGAAGAAUCGAUUUCGUUGAUAAUAAAAUGAAGAAAGUCCGGACUAUAGAAUUCCUAAUAGGACCUCAACAAUGACGAACUCCAACUCNNNNNNNNNNNNNNNNNNNNNNNNNNNNNNNNNNNNNNNNNNNNNNNNNNNNNNNNNNNNNNNNNNNNNNNNNNNNNNNNNNNNNNNNNNNNNNNNNNNNNNNNNNNNNNNNNNNNNNNNNNNNNNNNNNNNNNNNNNNNNNNNNNNNNNNNNNNNNNNNNNNNNNNNNNNNNNNNNNNNNNNNNNNNNNNNNNNNNNNNNNNNNNNNNNNNNNNNNNNNNNNNNNNNNNNNNNNNNNNNNNNNNNNNNNNNNNNNNNNNNNNNNNNNNNNNNNNNNNNNNNNNNNNNNNNNNNNNNNNNNNNNNNNNNNNNNNNNNNNNNNNNNNNNNNNNNNNNNNNNNNNNNNNNNNNNNNNNNNNNNNNNNNNNNNNNNNNNNNNNNNNNNNNNNNNNNNNNNNNNNNNNUUUUAGAAUUUUCCUUUUAUAUUUUUUAUUUGGUUUUUCUUUUUCUUUAUUUAUUAUCCUAUGUGGAAGCAUAUAAUUGGUGGCUUGUGGGAAUAAGUGUGCGGUAUGUGGAAAAGUUAGUGUGGCAUGUGGAAAGAUGAGGGUGGAGUGUGGAAAAAUCAGUAGGGCGUGUGCCUUUUGCAUGUAUCCAAUGAAAAAUGAAAAGUGAGGUGUUGGGGUGACAUAGUGAGGUGACAAAGAUGCUAUGUAUUUAAUUAUUUUCAAUUUUUUUUUGGGGAAAAAUUAUCAUUUAAACAAAAGUAUGGUAAGGUGAAUAAAAUAAAAAUAAAAAUAAAAAUAAAAUAAAAUAAAAAUGAUUAAAAUAUUUUUGGGAAAGUAUAAAAUUACGUGUCUACAACGACUUUGAGGAAAUUUUUGUGUAAAAGUUAGAUUUAAUUAUAUCGUUAUGAUGUCUCUAUCACCGUAUUAUUUUAUUGCAGUUUACAGGUGGUAGAUGAAUGUAGAUUGACUUUGAGAAAUUUUUUUGGUAAACGUUAGGUUUAAUUAAAUAAAAUUUCUAAAAGAUAUUGAAUUUAAUUAUUGUAUUCAUUUUUAUUAUUUAAACAAAUAUCCUAUUUGAUGUAACGUUUGAACUCAAUAAAGUGAGGUACACAUGCGAGACACAUACACUUAGAGUAUAUAUAUAUAUAUAUAUGUAUGUAUGUAUAUAUAUCGAGUAUUUAAUGACUACGAAUGAUGAUAGUCAGGCGGAUGAAUUUAAACAUAAAUUAAAAAUAAAGGAAGUCAAUUCUUCAUUACUUGGUCCCCUUUGUUGUUGAUUAUUUCGACUCGGGAAAACAAACGGAUUAUUUGGUGCUCGUUUUUCCAUAUCCAAUACGGAUUAGGCUUUAAUUAAUAAGAUAAUUAGCAAUUAUUAGGAAAUAAGGUAAUCCUAAUUUGAGUUGAUAAAAGGUUAAUAGUUCAUCUAUAUAAACAGAUAAACAUUCUAACUAUUCUUUCACCCUCAAAAUACAUCAACUUCAAUAGUAUUCGUUUAUUUUUUUUGAGAAUCAACGGAGAAAUCAACAAAGAACAUCGAAAUUGAAAAUCCAACCAAUGACCCGAAGCACUAUUAUGUGGCCUUGGGGAUGGUGAUCGGACUGAUUUUAGCAUUGGGUGUUAUCCAAAGUUUCGUCUUAUAUCGUCAACCUCACAUACUCCUAGUGUUAUUAUAACAAGAAAUGAUCAAGAACCCUAAUAAUAAUUAUAUUCUCUACUACGACGAUCUUGAGGCGAAGAUUACAUACAAUGACAACGUUUAUUGGCAAGCCAAUGUUUCUUCAAACUUCCAUCAAGUGGAAAACACUCAAACCCUAAUUGAUGCAGCGUUUGGUGCUUUGAAUGAUAAUAAUAUUGAUUAUAUUGUUGACUAUGUUGUUCGUGAAGUUCAUGUUGGUCAUCCAACUAGAUUUUCAGUGAGUUUAAAUGGGAAAGUUCAAAUGACUCAUCGGGAAGCACAUAAUCACUUAGACUGUGGAAAACUACAGGUUUCUUGUGAAGGUUUGGAAGUUGAGUUCUUACCGAAUGGAAAUAUUGGAACGUUAGAGGUUAUCUCAAAUGCCUGUGAUGUACUUCUGCGACCAUCAGUUUGUUGAUUAUCAUGGCGGAUCUAAAGGGAGUGUAAUUGGGAGCUACAAUAGAGUGAUAAAGCUAGAGAUCACGUAGAAUUUUUAUAUAGAGAGGGCAUAAGUGAGCCAAAAAUGUAAUCAAAGGGAUAUUUUUUUUUUUGGGUAAACAACAUAAAUUCCAACACUUUGCUAUCUAAUUACUCUCUCUCCCAACUUUUAUAUUAAUUACUUAAUAUCCCGGAUAUGAUACAUAAGUUUGGUCCGAAUAUAUAACCUACAGAUACAU